rnacentral:lncRNA from 10 species
CUCAGGCCCACCCCACCUCCAGAAUCAGAAUGAUUCGUAUUUUUACAGACAUAUGAAAAGCACUGCUUUAUAUGACCCCUGGAUGAAUCUUAAAACAUGAUUUAUUAUAUCCCAACCAAAUUCUUUUUUUUUUUUUUGAGACGGAGUCUCGCUCUGUCGCCCAGGCUAGAGUGCAGUGGCACCAUCGUGGCUCACUGCCACCUCUGCCUCCCCGGUUCAAGCAAUUCCCCCUGCGUCAGCCUCCGAGUAGGUGGGAUUACAGGUGCCUGCCGCCACACCCAGAUAAUUUUCGUAGUUUUAGUACAGAUGGGGUUUCAUCAUGUUGGCCAGGCUGGUCUCGAACUCCUGACCUCAGGUGAUCCUCCUGCCUUGGCCUCCCAAAGUGCUGGGAUUACAGGCGUGAGCCACAGCACCAGGCCAAAACUCUUAUCAUGGUUACCCAGUGAUAACCUUCUAGGUAUGGCUCUUUACUCCAUCCAAUGGGCACUACUUGCUAAUUCUCUCUAUUUUCAGGUUCGAUCUCCU